rnacentral:lncRNA from 1 species
AUGACCAGUCUGUUGAUUAACUCCAGCCUUCCAGGGGUCCUUGGACGGGACACACUGGGGCCAAAUUUUCAAUGUGUAAUCGCCUCUCCCGAGUCAGAAAUCUCACUGCCAAGCUGGAGCAGCCGUACAACAUGUAACUGGUCAAAGCGAUUGCCGUUUCCCAAUCACCACGCUCUGCCAAGACUCUGUUUCAGAUUUUCUACUCAGAGGAACAGCCUGGGAAUUUGCAAGUUCUUCACAGUGGUUUCUGGGGAAAUGUGCCUCUCACAGUUUCAUUGGACUACAGAAUUCAAGAACAAUUGUGAGUCUCAAGGGAGAAAGCUUAAAGAAAGAACACAUCAGAUAGAAACACAAACUGUUAAUCUUUCUGUUCAUCCCCUUAAAUGUACCACUGCUUAGCACCAAGACCCAUUAAAUUCUUAUACUUGACCACCCAUAUGAGCAAUCCCCUUUCUUCAAGGGUAAAUUGGGGGUCAGAAGAGGUAAAGUCUCUUAGAAGUUCUCAGAUGUGAGAGAUCCAUGUAGAGGAGUAAAUAAGAUUUACAGAAGAGUUGAUGGUCAAGGAAACCAAUUGGUAAUAAAAUUAGAAUAGGCACAUGAACACAUAACCAAAGCUUAUAGCUUACAAGAAGACUUAGCAUUGGAAUCACAGAAACCAUCUGGAGUCAGUGUAUUCACAAAGUGUAGGGGUGAGUACAAAACCAGACAACCAGAGAAGAUGAAGAAACCACAUUCCAGAGUUCAGAAAAAUGCCCAAGGUCCAAAAUCCAGGGAAAUAGCUAGUUUCUAGGAUUGAUAUGAAAAAUCAUCAGUAAGGGCUUUGAGAGUGUCUACUGAUUCUGUAUAUGCACAAUAGUCCACCUCUUCUUUUAAAGGUCUACAUACAUAUGACCUCCAGGCUAGUUUAUAUCCCAAUCCAUUGUUUCUUAGCACCCUUCAACCAUUCUUAGCUAUCUUUCUCAUCUCUCACAGCUAGAAUUCCCACUCUACUUCCUUCUAACAAAUGGAGUGUCUUUCUCCUUUCAAGCUUUACUCAAAACUUAUUCUUCUAGGAACAUGUACUAGUGCAAAACCAGGCAGUGAGAAGAGUAUUGGUGAAGUC